UGCCAGCCGCCGCGGUAAUACAGAGACCUCGAGCGUUGACCGGAUUUAUUGGGUUUAAAGGGUGCGCAGGCGGACCAAUUAGUCAGGGGUGAAAUCCCGGGGCUCAACCCCGGAACUGCCUUUAAUACUGUUGGUCUUGAAUACGGUUGAAGUAGGCGGAAUGUAGCAUGUAGCGGCGAAAUGCAUAGAGAUGCUACAGAACACCGAUCGCGAAGGCAGCUUACUAAGCCGAUAUUGACGCUCAGGCACGAAAGCGUGGGGAGCGAACAGGAUUAGAUA
rnacentral:rRNA from 1 species